CUGGUUUCUGGCUUUGUGCACGUCUCUGAUCUGAAUAUCUUCAGAUGGUGUCUGGGACUCUCUGAGAUAGCCAGAACAUCAGGAACUUCAGUCCUGGUGGAUGCUGGGAUCUGUAACCAUCUUCCUGUGGAACUCUAGUCCCAACCUGACAGCUUAACAGUGGCUCAGACACCUGAAAAUGCCAACGGGUAUUUGGCAAAGGGGCAGAGCUGCCAGACACAUCUUAAAAUUUAUUGAUUUCAGUGCAGGAUUGAGCAUCUUCAACUAGGAUUCUGCUCCUGGCUUUGUCACUGGUCACUUGUCAUCUUUGGAUAGGACACCGCCUUUACCAUGCCUCUGCUGCCUCUUCCGUAAAAUGAAGUGAGAAAGAAGCUCCUGUAUCUCAUGGGGAUGAUGACAACCACUCCCCUCUGUCAACUCCUCUCUUUUGCCAUUUGAUUUCACAAGAAGAAUCGGGUCAGUGCACUGAAUGACUGUCUGGUUUCUGUAGGACCUGCUGGAAGUGGCUCAGAAGAGCACAGUCAUGCUAAGCCAGCUCUCCUGCAGGUAGAGCUGUGCCACUGGGAGGCAUGACCUCACUGAGGGCUGCUGUGAGACAUGGCUCUGCAUCCUAUUUUGCUUCUUUGGCAAGGUCAUGUUCCAGUGACAGAGCCAGCCUUGGUAGAAUUGCCAACAUCCAAAGGCCAGUGGCUCAACAGGUGUAAAUCAGCACUCAGUCUCUCUGCUUGUGCCCACUAGAAACCACAGAUCUGGGCUGUUGUGGACCUCCUUCUUUUCUGAAAUGGUCCCGAAUUUUAAGGCUGAAAUUUUGCUCAGUGGAAUAGAUGAUAGAGCAUUCUUUUAAUGCUAGGUGUGAGGCCGUGGUACAGCUUGCCUGAGGUGGCACAGCAGGGGGGCAAGUCAAGAUCAUGCUCAAGGUGUCCUCGCCGCAUGCUGCACUGCUGCUGCCUUGCUCCCUCACAUGGACAUUUCCCAGAAGCCCGUGAAGGUUGGUCACAUUGAGGUCAGUUGGCAACAGAAGACCAAAAAGUUAUAAAGUUUACCUCUCAUGGCAAGUUAGCUUGCUUUCAUUUCAUGUUUCCACC
rnacentral:lncRNA from 1 species